UAAGUAAGCUUUGAUCCAGAGAUUUCCGAAUGGGGAAACCCAGCAUGAGUUAUGUCAUGUUAUCGAUAUGUGAAUACAUAGCAUAUCAGAAGGCACACCCGGAGAACUGAAACAUCUUAGUACCCGGAGGAAGAGAAAGAAAAUUCGAUUCCCUUAGUAGCGGCGAGCGAAACGGGAAGAGCCCAAACCAACAAGCUUGCUUGUUGGGGUUGUAGGACACUCUAUACGGAGUUACAAAGGACGACAUUAGACGAAUCAUCUGGAAAGAUGAAUCAAAGAAGGUAAUAAUCCUGUAGUCGAAAAUGUUGUCUCUCUUGAGUGGAUCCUGAGUACGACGGAGCACGUGAAAUUCCGUCGGAAUCUGGGAGGACCAUCUCCUAAGGCUAAAUACUCUCUAGUGACCGAUAGUGAACCAGUACCGUGAGGGAAAGGUGAAAAGCACCCCGGAAGGGGAGUGAAAUAGAACCUGAAACCGUGUGCUUACAAGUAGUCAGAGCCCGUUAAUGGGUGAUGGCGUGCCUUUUGUAGAAUGAACCGGCGAGUUACGAUUUGAUGCAAGGUUAAGCAGUAAAUGUGGAGCCGUAGCGAAAGCGAGUCUGAAUAGGGCGUUUAGUAUUUGGUCGUAGACCCGAAACCAGGUGAUCUACCCUUGGUCAGGUUGAAGUUCAGGUAACACUGAAUGGAGGACCGAACCGACUUACGUUGAAAAGUGAGCGGAUGAACUGAGGGUAGCGGAGAAAUUCCAAUCGAACCUGGAGAUAGCUGGUUCUCUCCGAAAUAGCUUUAGGGCUAGCCUCAAGUGAUGAUUAUUGGAGGUAGAGCACUGUUUGGACGAGGGGCCCCUCUCGGGUUACCGAAUUCAGACAAACUCCGAAUGCCAAUUAAUUUAACUUGGGAGUCAGAACAUGGGUGAUAAGGUCCGUGUUCGAAAGGGAAACAGCCCAGACCACCAGCUAAGGUCCCAAAAUAUAUGUUAAGUGGAAAAGGAUGUGGCGUUGCCCAGACAACUAGGAUGUUGGCUUAGAAGCAGCCAUCAUUUAAAGAGUGCGUAAUAGCUCACUAGUCGAGUGACACUGCGCCGAAAAUGUACCGGGGCUAAACAUAUUACCGAAGCUGUGGAUUGUCCUUUGGACAAUG
rnacentral:rRNA from 1 species